GCCACUUAAAUCUGCCUGCUGAGACAAGUAAGAUGCUGUCUCCAAAGCCUGGAUGGUUGCCAGCACAUUUUCUUCUUUACUGAGGCGAGCCGUAAGAGCACUAAGCGCUUCCUGAGAUGCUAAAGGAAGGCCAAAGCUGCUCAGGGCCCCAACAGCAUGGAAGAUCUGGGUGAUUGAAGAAUCCUCACUGACAGCGGCAAGCAGCAGCUCCCUGGUCUCAUUUGAAAUGGUAACCUCGCAACCAGACAGGACCCGGAUAGACUGUGCAGCAUAGAAAAGGGAAUCAACACUGCUGGAGUCCACAUGGGAUUUGACAAAAUUGCAUGCAGCCUUUUCGUCCGCCACGCGCAGCCCCAGGCUGUGGAGGCCCACAAUGGAGUAGUAGGCGGCCUGCAGGUCGGUGAAGGGCCGCUCCAGAGCCGCCCGCAGUCGGGCCAGGUCUCGCGCGGUGAGGUGGUGGCUGGGGGCGAGGGCCUGGGCACCGACGAGGAGGAGCAGCAGGGCCGCCACCAGGCACAGCCGCCGGCCCGGCGCCGCCAUCUUGUUGCCGCUGCCCGCUGGGCCACGGCGCCGCUUCCGGCCCGGCGCGCACCACCGCGUCACGGGGGGGGGAGGAGCGAUGGCGUCGUCCUCCAAGGGACCCCGGCACCACGAGCACCAAACGAGGACGACAUGAAGCUGUAGAAAAGCGUUGAAGCUCCAGGGCCGGGCGAGCAGCGAGUGGAGGCGUGGCGGCGACGGAGCACCCAACGGCGCCAACGGGAACCCCCCUACACUGCAGAAUGGUACGGUCCUCCC
rnacentral:lncRNA from 1 species